rnacentral:rRNA from 1 species
UACGUAGGUCCCGAGCGUUGUCCGGAUUUAUUGGGCGUAAAGCGAGCGCAGGUGGUUUAUUAAGUCUGGUGUAAAAGGCAGUGGCUCAACCAUUGUAUGCAUUGGAAACUGGUAGACUUGAGUGCAGGAGAGGAGAGUGGAAUUCCAUGUGUAGCGGUGAAAUGCGUAGAUAUAUGGAGGAACACCGGUGGCGAAAGCGGCUCUCUGGCCUGUAACUGACACUGAUGCACGAAAGCGUGGGUAUCAAACAGG